GACGAACGCUGGCGGCGUGCCUAAUACAUGCAAGUAGAACGCAGUUGCGAACGGGUGAGUAAAGCGUAGGUAACUGUCUGGUAGCGGGGGGUAACUAAUGGAAACGAUAGCUAAUACCGCAUACUACCAGAUGGACCUGCGUUGUAUUCGGUAGUUGGUGAGGUAACGGCUCACCAAGGCAACGAUACAUAGCCGACCUGGGGAGGUGGUCGGCCACACUGGGACUGGGACACGGCCCAGACUCCUACCGGAGGGAGCAGUAGGGAAUCUUCGGCAAUGGGGGGAACCCUGACCGAGCAACGCCGGGUGAGUGAAGAAGGUUUUCGGGUCGUAAAGCUCUGGUGGUAAGGAAGCGGUACUUAACCAGAAAGGGACGGCUAACUACGUGCCAGCAGCCGCGGUAAUUC
rnacentral:rRNA from 1 species